rnacentral:tRNA from 1 species
GAAUUUAUAUUUUGUUAAACUAUGAUUUUGAAAAUCAUCCAUAAGUGUUCAAUUCACUUUAAAUUCU